UCUGUGUUUGUUCUCCCCGCUGCAGUUGGCAAAGGAUCAUGGGAUCCGAUUCUUUGAAACGAGCGCCAAGUCUAGUUUGAACGUGGAAGAGGCUUUCCGAGCACUCGCCCAUGACAUAUUAAUAAAGACGAGCAAGAAAUCAGGCUUUGGGUCCCCCAGCUAUAAGACCCCUCUGGAAAGCCCACAGAAGUCAAGCUCCAAGUGCUCCUUAGUUUAAGACUCAGAACGUGACGCACACAACAGAGAGCCAGGUAACCCUCCUCAACGAAGACCCAUUGUGUGGAUAACUUAUUGAAAUCAACUACUGGACCCGUCUGGGGACGCAGCGGUCAGUCAUCGUAGCUUCAUACCUGGUUUAGCUUCACUACAGCCCCCUCCCCUCCCCCCGUCCCCUUCUUCCCUGGACGGGAGGGGAAGACACUAAACCACGUUCCUCUUUGUGACUGAAACUUCCUCCCACAGCAGGUCAAAUCUGGGACUUAUUUAAGCUUUGCUUAUUUGUACAAUAUACGGGGCUUGAAGGUGGGUUGGGGUGGGAGGGGUGAGAGGGUGAUGUAUUGAAUCUCAAUGGGUCUGUAGCAAUGGCGGGAUGAUGGAGGGGAGGAAAAGAGGGAAUGGUGGCAGACAUUUUGUCAAGCAGUUGAAGACCUCAAGUCUUUUCUCGCCAGAGCCAAUGGUAUUAUUCAUUCUUUUUUUUUGUUCUUUAUUUUUAUUUGCUUGUUCUUCAAGGACAAGAUUCCUGCCCUUUUGGUUUUAGGGGGCUUGACAGGACAGAAUUCCCCGGUGCCAGGAUGAAGAUGGAGGUCAAAGGUCAGGCAUUGGGGCGGAUGUUGGCCUACAGGAAUUGAGGCCAGCGAGGGCGUUUCUGCUAAUGUAUAAUCACCCUCCCCCACCAUCAAACCCCCCUCCGCCCCUCCCCUCCCCCCCGUCUCAGUUCUGAAAUUCCAGGGGACAGCUGGUCAGGAAGUCAACAGUAAACUUGGAGAAACCAGGAAUUAAAGGGAUGGUUUUCAUUUUAUCAUUGAACCCCUGUCAAACGGUGCUGGGAUUUCUCAAGUUCCCACAGUCCCCAACAUGUUUUGGUUCUAACAGUGUAAAGAUUCAGGAUGGGGCUAAUCCCAGGGAUGGGUCAAGGAUUUUGAACGAGUUGGGGAGGCACUCGAAUGGUGGAAUUUCUGAACACCAGCCACGAUUACUCCACUAGAUAAUGGCGCGAGACUGAGUGAGAUGGAGCAAGGGGCAGGAAAAAAAAACUAAAAAGCCAGAUCCCCCCCUCCCUAGGUUGACUGAUCCCGAAGGAGGGAUACUGGAGAUGGUUGGCAGAGGGGACAUGGCCAUUGGAGGAGUCUUGAUCCCAGGUGAGGACAAAUGGGGCUGGGCUGCUCCUGGUGGUUGAACAGCUGCAUGCAAAACCAUACCACUGGGGGAGGGGGUGGGGGGGGGGCGAACGUUUGGGAGGAAGCAAGUCAGGGGACAAUGCCAGUGACUUGCCUCUCUUAGGUCACACUAGUGCAACUUGAAAAGGGGGCAGAGAAAAGCCAGGAAUUGCUCGGGGUGACAUCGACGAGCAAGGGUCUCCACCUUUACCACCUGCAGGUCAGUUCUAAGAGUGGGAUGGAUGGUGUCCAUCAGGAAACUGCCUCCCCUCCCUUACCCAAACUCCUGUCUCCAGGCUCUUUGGUAAUCAGGGGUGCUGGUUGCCUGCAAGCACCUCUUUGUGCGGCAGUCGAUUGAUUCCUUGCACUACAACCCACCCUAGCCUCCCCUGUUCACUUGCGAACGAAAGCUGGGAGGACAGGGUGGUUUGCGUUCGGUGAGCCGAGAGAUUGAGAACGGGCGCAGGUUGGAGGCCACAGGGCUGUCUGGCCGUCGUGGGACGAACAGGAGAAGCCUUCCACCGUGAUUCAGGACCAUCAGUGACACGACGUGUGAAUGGCCUCACUCCGAUUCAUCCCAUUUGACCUACUGCGGAGGCCAGUGACCCCUCUGGUCGAUUUAUCUGGGCUCUGUUGGCAAGGCUGGAUUGAUUGCCCAUGCCUAGAUUCUUUGGCUGGGCCCGUCCAGGAAUUUGAUCCAACCUCAAAGAGCGUGGCCGAUUUUAAGCUCCUCCAGGCUCGGGUGUGGGUGGAAUGGGGGUCGGGGAAAUGAUGCUAUUGAAGUAUUCUUUGUAGCAGCACGUCCUGAUUCGAAACUAAAUUUAUUGCAACAAACAAUCCUGAGAUACCAAGAGAUCCCUAGAAAGAGCUCGUGGGGCAUGAGUGAGGGAAGUGAAGGUGCUGCGUGUUUGGGUCUUUACAGCAUUCUUUCCCAGUGGCUGAGGAGAGGUAGCGACACUGUCCAACGUGGUAGCCCGUCAUGUAGGUAGGGAGCUGCUAGGUUCCAUACCCAUACCUGGGGAGGGAGCGUGGUGGUAACAGAGGUGUUUGAUUUGACUCAGUUCCCCUUGGGGACAGGGAAGUGGAAGAUCAGCUGAUGUGGAACCGCCAUUGCUUGGGCCUCAGUGGCCACCUCUCGUCGGUCAGAUACCCUGCCAGUACAUGGUGCAGGCCACUUGAGAAGCAAAGUCAGGAAGUAAGUUGAGUGGCCGGGUUGAAGUGGGAGGGAAUUCCAGUCAUGGGCAUCGGGCUUGUAUCCCUACCACCUCUGUGACACUGUGUGCUUUAUUAUCACACUGCACACCACUAUGCUAUCCACCUGUUAUUUACCUAUGUCUGUUGCCAACCAUUGCUCAAGCUAAAAUUUAGAUGAGAAAGAAAAUGAAACUCAGCCUGCCUGGACCAAGCGCCACUCCAGCGUUGGGAUUAACCUCUGUUUAAGUCAGUGUUUUUGAGCAAAGCAGAUUCUGCAUCCUAUGUUGUGCCAAUCCACUGUCCCCUUCCCCAAGUUUAGAAAGACUGAAGCCUCCAGAAAGUGAAUCUUGGCCAGUCUUUGCCAGGAUGGUGUUGUAGCUGCAUUUAGCACCUCUUGUGCAAUGCUGAUGUAAUAAAGAUUUGCGGUUGCUGUGGACUUUGA